rnacentral:rRNA from 1 species
GACAACUUUUGACGGUGGAUCUCUUGGCUCACGCAUCGAUGAAGAACGCAGCCAGCUGCGAUAAGUAGUGUGAAUUGCAGAAUUCAGUGAAUCAUCGAAUCUUUGAACGCAAAUGGCGCUCUUGGGUUCUCCCAGGAGCAUGUCUGUCUGAGUGUCGG